GUCGAACGAACUUCCGUUAAUUGAUUAUGACGUGCUUGCACUGAAUGAGAUUUUAACACGAAGUGAGUGGCGGACGGGUGAGUAACACGUGGGUAACCUGCCCAGAAGCAGGGGAUAACACCUGGAAACAGAUGCUAAUACCGUAUAACAGAGAAAACCGCCUGGUUUUCUUUUAAAAGAUGGCUCUGCUAUCACUUCUGGAUGGACCCGCGGCGCAUUAGCUAGUUGGUGAGGUAACGGCUCACCAAGGCGAUGAUGCGUAGCCGACCUGAGAGGGUAAUCGGCCACAUUGGGACUGAGACACGGCCCAGACUCCUACGGGAGGCAGCAGUAGGGAAUCUUCCACAAUGGACGCAAGUCUGAUGGAGCAACGCCGCGUGAGUGAAGAAGGGUUUCGGCUCGUAAAGCUCUGUUGUUAAAGAAGAACGUGGGUGAGAGUAACUAUUCACCCAGUGACGGUAUUUAACCAGAAAGCCACGGCUAACUACGUGCCAGCAGCCGCGGUAAUACGUAGGUGGCAAGCGUUAUCCGGAUUUAUUGGGCGUAAAGCGAGCGCAGGCGGUCUUUUAAGUCUAAUGUGAAAGCCUUCGGCUCAACCGAAGAAGUGCAUUGGAAACUGGGAGACUUGAGUGCAGAAGAGGACAGUGGAACUCCAUGUGUAGCGGUGAAAUGCGUAGAUAUAUGGAAGAACACCAGUGGCGAAGGCGGCUGUCUGGUCUGUAACUGACGCUGAGGCUCGAAAGCAUGGGUAGCGAACAGGAUUAGAUACCCUGGUAGUCCAUGCCGUAAACGAUGAUUACUAAGUGUUGGAGGGUUUCCGCCCUUCAGUGCUGCAGCUAACGCAUUAAGUAAUCCGCCUGGGGAGUACGACCGCAAGGUUGAAACUCAAAAGAAUUGACGGGGGCCCGCACAAGCGGUGGAGCAUGUGGUUUAAUUCGAAGCUACGCGAAGAACCUUACCAGGUCUUGACAUCUUCUGCCAACCUAAGAGAUUAGGCGUUCCCUUCGGGGACAGAAUGACAGGUGGUGCAUGGUUGUCGUCAGCUCGUGUCGUGAGAUGUUGGGUUAAGUCCCGCAACGAGCGCAACCCUUAUUACUAGUUGCCAGCAUUCAGUUGGGCACUCUAGUGAGACUGCCGGUGACAAACCGGAGGAAGGUGGGGACGACGUCAAAUCAUCAUGCCCCUUAUGACCUGGGCUACACACGUGCUACAAUGGAUGGUACAACGAGUUGCGAAACCGCGAGGUUUAGCUAAUCUCUUAAAACCAUUCUCAGUUCGGACUGUAGGCUGCAACUCGCCUACACGAAGUCGGAAUCGCUAGUAAUCGCGGAUCAGCAUGCCGCGGUGAAUACGUUCCCGGGCCUUGUACACACCGCCCGUCACACCAUGAGAGUUUGUAACACCCAAAGCCGGUGGGGU
rnacentral:rRNA from 1 species